ACUCCUACGGGAGGCAGCAGUGGGAAUAUUGCACAAUGGAGGAAACUCUGAUGCAGCAACGCCGCGUGGAGGAUGACACUUUUCGGAGCGUAAACUCCUUUUAUAUAGGAAGAUAAUGACGGUACUAUAUGAAUAAGCGCCGGCUAACUCCGUGCCAGCAGCCGCGGUAAUACGGAGGGCGCAAGCGUUACUCGGAAUCACUGGGCGUAAAGAGCGUGUAGCGGAUAGAUAAGUCAGAAGUGAAAUCCUAUAGCUCAACUAUAGAACUGCUUUUUGAAACUGUCUAUCUAGAAUAUGGGAGAGGUAGAUGGAAUUUCUGUGUAGGGGUAAAAUCCGUAGAGAUCAGAAGGAAUACCGAUUGCGAAGGCGAUCUACUGGAACAUUAUUGACGCUGAGACGCGAAAGCGUGGGGAGCAAACAGGAUUAGAUACCCUGGUAGGUC
rnacentral:rRNA from 1 species